rnacentral:miRNA from 1 species
AACUCCAGUUUUUCAUUUUCUCCUUUCCUUUUCCUUAGUCAAUAAUCUUAAUAGGAAAAAGGAAAAGGAAAGGAGAAAAUGAAAAACUGGAGUU